rnacentral:tRNA from 1 species
GGGGUGUAGCUCAGUGGUAGAGUACUUGCCUACCAUGCAAGGCCCUGAGUUAGAUUUCCAGCACCACCA